rnacentral:rRNA from 1 species
UACGUAGGGAGCAAGCGUUGUCCGGAAUCAUUGGGCGUAAAGCGCGCGUAGGCGGCCCUGUAAGUCCGUUGUGAAAGUCAAAGGCUCAACCUUUGAAAGCCGAUGGAUACUGCAGGGCUAGAGUCCGGAAGAGGCGAGUGGAAUUCCUGGUGUAGCGGUGGAAUGCGCAGAGUAUCAGGAGGAACACCAAUAGCGAAGGCAGCUCGCUGGGACGGUAAGCUGACGCUAAGGCGGCGAAAGCUGUGGGGAGCGAACGAGG